rnacentral:lncRNA from 1 species
GGUAUUUCUGUUAUUAUUGGCUCUAGUUUUAUUCUCUGGAGAUCAUGUUGAAUUGUGGGGAUUGAAAUGAAACUGGUGGAUUUGCCUACUGCCUAAAUAUUUUAUAUCRUCAAAAACACACAGCCCACCUUGUUGUGAGAGGAAGUCGGUGUUCAGAACAAAAAGAUUUGAAGAGACUGAAAAAGUAGGGAUUUAUGGCAGAGCACCAAAGUGAAGGAUUUGCUGACAUUUUGGCUGUUUCAUUGCCAGAGGAGGCUUUGUGUGUCCCAAAGGAAGUGAGUGAUCUGGCCAUAACAAAUCCUGCCAAAAUAUUUUAACACCGUUACGAUUUCCUAAUGCAAUGCGUAGUGAAUGUGACUAGGAAAGGAUGGUGAGUCCGUGACGGGGAUUUGUUCCCUCUCGCGUGCAGUUGCCCGGYAGAACGAGCACCGAUGAGCCCUGG